rnacentral:rRNA from 1 species
AACGAACGCUGGCGGCAUGCCUAACACAUGCAAGUCGAACGAGACCUUCGGGUCUAGUGGCGCACGGGUGCGUAACGCGUGGGAACCUGCCCUUAGGUUCGGAAUAACUCCCCGAAAGGGGUGCUAAUACCGGAUAAUGUCUUCGGACCAAAGAUUUAUCGCCUUUGGAUGGGCCCGCGUUGGAUUAGCUAGUUGGUAGGGUAAAAGCCUACCACGGCGACGAUCCAUAGCUGGUCUGAGAGGAUGAUCAGCCACACUGGGACUGAGACACGGCCCAGACUCCUACGGGAGGCAGCAGUGGGGAAUAGUGGACAAUGGGCGAAAGCCUGAUCCAGCAAGGCCGCGUGAGUGAUGAAGGCCUUAGGGUUGUAAAGCUCUUUUACCCGGGAUGAUAAUGACAGUACCGGGAGAAUAAGCUCCGGCUAACUCCGUG